rnacentral:rRNA from 1 species
GCUUAACACAUGCAAGUCGAGCGGUAAGGCCCUUCGGGGUACACGAGCGGCGAACGGGUGAGUAACACGUGGGUGAUCUGCCUCGCACUUCGGGAUAAGCCUGGGAAACUGGGUCUAAUACCGGAUAUGACCUUUCAGUGCAUGCUGUUUGGUGGAAAGAUUUAUCGGUGCGAGAUGGGCCCGCGGCCUAUCAGCUUGUUGGCGGGGUAACGGCCCACCAAGGCGACGACGGGUAGCCGACCUGAGAGGGUGACCGGCCACACUGGGACUGAGACACGGCCCAGACUCCUACGGGAGGCAGCAGUGGGGAAUAUUGCACAAUGGGCGAAAGCCUGAUGCAGCGACGCCGCGUGAGGGAUGACGGCCUUCGGGUUGUAAACCUCUUUCGACAGGGACGAAGCGCAAGUGACGGUACCUGUAGAAGAAGCACCGGCCAACUACGUGCCAGCAGCCGCGGUAAUACGUAGGGUGCGAGCGUUGUCCGGAAUUACUGGGCGUAAAGAGCUUGUAGGCGGUUUGUCGCGUCGUCCGUGAAAACUUGGGGCUCAACCCCAAGCUUGCGGGCGAUACGGGCAGACUUGAGUACUUCAGGGGAGACUGGAAUUC